UACAGAGGUCUCAAGCGUUGUUCGGAUUCAUUGGGCGUAAAGGGUGCGUAGGUGGCGCCGUAAGUGGGGUGUGAAAUUUCGGAGCUUAACUCCGAAACUGCAUUCGAUACUGCCGUGCUUGAGGACUGGAGAGGAGACUGGAAUUUACGGUGUAGCGGUGAAAUGCGUAGAUAUCGUAAGGAAGACCAGUGGCGAAGGCGGGUCUCUGGACAGUUCCUGACGCUGAGGCACGAAGGCCAGGGGAGCAAACGGG
rnacentral:rRNA from 1 species